rnacentral:rRNA from 1 species
AUACGGAGGGUGCGAGCGUUAAUCGGAAUUACUGGGCGUAAAGCGUACGUAGGCGGUUGGUUAAGUUAGAUGUGAAAGCCCCGGGCUUAACUUGGGAACUGCAUUUGAAACUGGGUAACUAGAGUUUAGUAGAGGGGAGUGGAAUUUCAGGUGUAGCGGUGAAAUGCGUAGAGAUCUGAAGGAACACCAGUGGCGAAGGCGACUCCCUGGACUAAAACUGACGCUGAGGUACGAAAGCGUGGGUAGCAAACAGGAUUAGAUACCCGGGUAGUCC